UCGCCAGGAGCAAGAGGGAAAGGGGUGUAACCCUAGUUCAUCAAGAUUUAACAAAUUGAAGGGUGAAUUAGAGGCAAAUCGUAUGCAUGAACACAUAAAAAUGAUCACUUAGUCAUGGGGAUCACAAGAUAUUGACAAUAGUUUGACGCUUAACGAGCUAGGUGGAGGCUUGGGAAAGAAGCGGUCAAAUGAAUCAAAUGCGAGAAGAAAAGCGUAAACCAACGAGAGGUGAGUAUAGCAAGCAUCCGGAUGACGAUCAAGCAAUCUAGUGAACCGAACACAUCUCAAAUGAAGCUUCCGCAAUGACUUUACUUUGUUUUUGUUUUAAGUGAACUAUGUAAACACUUGGAACUAUAUUUGUUUACUUUAAACACGUAUGAACUUUGACUUGACAAAGUUUUUAGAAAGUCACAUUUUUCGU